GUUUAUUUACAGUGGCCAGAGUUUCUCUUAUUAUUCCAGAUUUGUUAGCAUAAUAGCAACAUUGCUCUCCUAGGGCUGCACAUAGCCCUCCCUCUUUCAUAAACCCAAGGUCAAGUCCUCGGCGGUUUUGAAGGACCAUCUCAGCCAGAGAAUCAACUUGUUUUUCCAAAUGAGACACUGACUCGAUACAUCCUGAAAAUUCUUAUUCUAUGAUGGAAGUCAGUGAACCAUCAACCAUUCUAUAUUUAAGAAAACAACGUUUUUUCAAUUGGAAUUAUUUUAUUCAAUUAGAAGAGAUGUUUUUCAUUCGUUUAAGUCUACUUUGGUGGCCUUGAGGAGUUUUAAAAAGUUGCUUCUUAUGGAUUUUACAUAGUUCUUCAGAUUAUUUGUAAGUAUUUUAUCUUUCUUAUGCUAGUGAACACAACUCUUUCUCUUCCACUAUAUUUUCUACACCGUUUUUUGGAAAAUUGAGGACUAUUAAACUUGGGACAUUAUUUUUACAUUUUGUUUCUGCACUAAUUUUUAUUAUGGAUUCUUGAAAGAAUUAAUGCUAAGUCAUCAGCUAAUAGAAAAUUUUUAACUUUUUUUUUCUUUGUAAGUUUUUAUGCUUAGAUUUACUCAUCCAAUUAUAACUCAAAAUGAUAUUAAAUAGUAGAGGGACACAUGGAUUUCCUGCCCUUACUCCUAAUUAUGACUAGGAGGCCAUAGCCUCAGUGUUGCCGCUACCCAGUAGUAGUUUUUGCCACAGCAGGUGUUCAGUAACUGGCUUUGAGCAGGUGAUCUGUCUAAAGAUC
rnacentral:lncRNA from 1 species